GUUGUAGAGCAAAGAUGCAAUCAAAUUUGCCUUGCACACGUGUGUCUGUCACUUUGUAUUUGUGAAUGACAUUUUACAAAUACACAACUAUUAAUCUGCAACUUCCAAUUUAAAACACAAGUGUGUGGGUUGUUGUGUGUGUGUGCAAAUCGAGGAUUUCAGCUGUUCACAUCAGAGCUGUAAGUGUACAUUUCAACCUACACAUACAAAUAUUAUUAUCACAAGUGCUCACAUUUACAUUUGCAAGCUCUCGAGUUUCGCAACGGAUUUACCUUCAUAAUAAUGUGUCCACUUGGGCUAAAAGCCGGUGUUGGGUUGCAUCGCAGAAGCAUCUGCCUAAUAGAUAUUGCAGAGACCGAACACACAAAUGGGUUUCUCUUAGGAUAGUGUGUGCUGUAUCACUAUACACCGCUCACAGUUUCCUGCCAUUGAUCAAGCCCCACCUAUUCAGCUGAUGGGCCAGAGGAGAAACCCGAUCACCUAACAAGAGAGAAGCAGAGGAGAGAGGAAGGAGAAAAUGAGAGAACUGGUACUGUACCACAGCCUCUUUAUUUCCCUUCGUACCUAAAACACAUCCCACUCUGUGCAAUGCAUAUCAGUUUUACUGUGUCUACA
rnacentral:lncRNA from 1 species